rnacentral:rRNA from 1 species
AGAUGGCGACCGGCGCACGGGUGAGUAACACGUAUCCAACCUGCCGAUAACUCGGGGAUAGCCUUUCGAAAGAAAGAUUAAUACCCGAUGGUAUAAUCAGACCGCAUGGUUUGAUUAUUAAAGAAUUUCGGUUAUCGAUGGGGAUGCGUUCCAUUAGGCAGUUGGUGAGGUAACGGCUCACCAAACCUUCGAUGGAUAGGGGUUCUGAGAGGAAGGUUCCCCACAUUGGAACUGAGACACGGUCCAA